rnacentral:rRNA from 1 species
AUGAGUUGCCUAAAAGAUGUUCCGACACUCAGAGGUGACAAUCACACUGAGUGGAGGAAGAAAGUUGAACUGACAUUUGUCUGUGCUGAUCUGGACUGGGUUCUGGAUGAACCACAACCGGUCAGACCUACAGAGCCAGUAAGAGAGGCCACUGAUGAUGAUGCUGCGUGGACUAAAAAGAGGGGGGAUUAUGCUCCUUUGGAGAUGUCCUACAUCAUAGAAAACCAAAAGUGGGUCAAUGCAAACAAAAAGUGCAUGGCCUUUAUAAAGAAUACAAUUGAGAGCGCUAUUGUGGGCUCCAUUGCAGAGUGCACUUCCGCAGGGGAGUUGCUUUCAAAGAUAAAGAGCCAGUUCACUGGCUCUUCAAAGAUAUAUGCCACCCAGGUGUUAGAGCAACUGGUGACAGAACGCUACACAAGUGGUAGUCAUGGAAUAAGAGAGCACAUCCUCAGGAUGAGCAAUAUGGCAGCAAAGCUCAAGCCCAUGGAUGCGGAUCUGGAG